GCUGCACAGGGGCUGACGGAGCAGGAGGUGACCAUCCACAGACUCCACAGGGAGGCGUGUGAGGUACCACGAACCACCGCAGAAACUGUCAGUUGGCAAAGAAGCAGAUGUAUGUGGACCUUUCCAGUGGGUAUAAGGUGUUCACAGAGUAUGCCCACCUUCAGAGAGGGAAAUGCUGCGGCAGCGCCUGCAGACACGUGGUCAUUGGACAAGAGGCRGUGUCCAGCCUGGACRGGUCAUCAGUCCGUCACAGAGCAACACAGUCACAAAGCUGGAGUACCCAGAGAGACCCACUGCGUGCAGGGAGAACAUGCAAACUCCAUGUGGAAAGGCCUGUGCAGGUUUCGAACCAGGACCUCCUUCCUUCCUGCAGGGCAACAACGCAAACAGCUGCUUCAUCGUGCAGGCCUGACAUGAAUAUACUGGAUAUAUUGUGGAUAAUGACUCACUGCGGUGAACUGGAGACCCAAACAUUUAGAAAUGUCAUUGUUGCUCUUUGCAAUAUGUUAGUCAGUGACUCUGUUUCUKUUYMUUUUUGAGAUCCUUUAGCCUACUUCAUGUUGUCAGAUAUAUUUGUUUAAGUAAUUCCUUUAUUCUCCUGCAUAGACAGUAAAAUUGAACCUAAAAAUGUGACAAAUCCCAGUUAAUUCAUGAUUUACAAAUUUCUUAGAGGACAAGGUAGGCUUGGAUCCCCCCCCUAACCUAUAUUUUGUUUUUAUUCAAGCUAUAUAUAAUAUUAAWUUUGCUUCAUGUAGUGCAGUAGUGCCCAAAGUUGAUCCUCGAGGGUUGGCAUCCAGCAUGUUUUAGUUCUCUCCCUGGUUUAACACACCUGGAUCACAUGAUGGCUCGUUAGAAGGCCUAAGGAGAACA